rnacentral:rRNA from 1 species
CCUACGGGUGGCAGCAGUGAGGAAUAUUGGUCAAUGGGCGGGAGCCUGAACCAGCCAAGCCGCGUGAAGGAAGAAGGUUCUGAGCAUUGUAAACUUCUUUUUUCAGGGGACAAAUGCGGGCACGGGAGGCCGACAGAGGGUACCUGGAGAAAAAGCAUCGGCUAACUCCGUGCCAGCAGCCGCGGUAAUACGGAGGAUGCGAGCGUUAUCCGGAUUUAUUGGGUUUAAAGGGUGCGCAGGCGGCGUGUCAAGUCAGCGGUAAAAUGUCGGGGCUCAACCCCGGCCGGCCGUUGAAACUGGCGUGCUCGAGGUGGAGAGAGGUAUGCGGAAUGCGUGGUGUAGCGGUGAAAUGCAUAGAUAUCACGAAGAACCCCGAUUGCGAAGGCAGCAUACCGGCGCCGAACUGACGCUGAGGCACGAAAGCGUGGGUAUCGAACAGGAUUAGAUACCCCAGUAGUC